GUUCAUAUAAUAUAAUACGUUCCUGUUGAAAUAUACGCUUUAUCAUAUAUUUCAACAGGAACGUAUUAUAUUAUAUGAACUGUUUUC
rnacentral:sRNA from 1 species